GUGUCAGCAGCCGCGGUAACACGUAGGGUGCGAGCGUUGUCCGGAAUUAUUGGGCGUAAAGAGCUCGUAGGCGGUGUGUCGCGUCGGCCGUGAAAACCUGCAGCUUAACUGUGGGCUUGCGGUCGAUACGGGCAUCACUGGAGUUCGGCAGGGGAGACUGGAAUUCCUGGUGUAGCGGUGAAAUGCGCAGAUAUCAGGAGGAACACCGGUGGCGAAGGCGGGUCUCUGGGCCGAUACUGACGCUGAGGAGCGAAAGCGUGGGGAGCGAACAGGAUUAGAAACCCCCGUAGUCC
rnacentral:rRNA from 1 species